rnacentral:rRNA from 1 species
CCCCAGUCGCCCCUAUCUCCGGGGCUGGCGACGCAUCAGUCUGCGCUGGGAGGCCCUCUUUCUGGGGUCGAUCAGCAGCUCCAGAGCCCCUGGAGUUCACAGAUCAAAUGAUCGCGGCCACGUUCGUGGUUGAGAUAUGACCGGCCUCGGCUGUCACCGGCCAGAGAUUUGCGGAACCUGCGGAAGGAUCAUUA